rnacentral:lncRNA from 1 species
CCUGGAUGAAGAACCUUGGUGUCCUGUGUAUUUUUAACCCCGCCGUCCCUCGCCGGACUUGGCUCCGUUAGCCGGACGCGGCAUCUGGAGGUUCCCACCGAGAUCCGGAAAGUAGGGGUAAGCGGACGGGGCUCACCUUCUAAAGGUAGAAGGGGGAGGAUUGGUUUAAAGAUAAUUUAAAGAGACAGGGUACGUACCAUGGGUAACUCAACAGCGAAGGUUCGUCUGGCCAACGAACUAAAAGAGCUGUUAAAUACACAAGGAACAGGAAUAAAAACUAAGACUGCAACCGAAUUCAUUGAAGUUAUCGCCCAGGCUUGUCCUUGGUUUCUGACAGGAGGAUUUCUCAAUAAUAGUGACUGGGACCUGGUGAGACAUGACCUUCAGAAGUUACUGAGGGAUCAGGGCUCGGACAGUGUCCCGGUUGCCACCUUUUC